GGAUGCGAUCAUACCAGCACUAAAGCACCGGAUCCCAUCAGAACUCCGAAGCUAAGCGUGCUUGGGUGAGAGUAGUACUAGGAUGGGUGACCUCCUGGGAAGUCCUCGUGUUGCAUUCC
rnacentral:rRNA from 2 species